rnacentral:rRNA from 1 species
GCAUAUCAAUAAGCGGAGGAAAAGAAACCAACAGGGAUUGCCCUAGUAACGGCGAGUGAAGCGGCAACAGCUCAAAUUUGAAAUCUGGCUUUCGGGCCCGAGUUGUAAUUUGUAGAGGAUACUUUUGAUGCGGUGCCUUCCGAGUUCCCUGGAACGGGACGCCAUAGAGGGUGAGAGCCCCGUCUGGUUGGAUGCCAAAUCUCUGUAAAGUUCCUUCGACGAGUCGAGUAGUUUGGGAAUGCUGCUCUAAAUGGGAGGUAUAUGUCUUCUAAAGCUAAAUAUUGGCCAGAGACCGAUAGCGCACAAGUAGAGUGAUCGAAAGAUGAAAAGCACUUUGAAAAGAGAGUUAAAAAGUACGUGAAAUUGUUGAAAGGGAAGCGUUUAUGACCAGACUUGGACUUGGUUAAUCAUCUGGGGUUCUCCCCAGUGCACUUUUCCAGUUCAGGCCAGCAUCAGUUUUCGCCGGGGGAUAAAGGCUUCGGGAAUGUAGCUCUCUUCGGGGAGUGUUAUAGCCCGUUGUGUAAUACCCUGGCGGAGACUGAGGUUCGCGCUUCUGCAAGGAUGCUGGCGUAAUGGUCAUCAACGACCCGUCUUGAAACACGGACCAAGGAGUCGUCUUCGUAUGCGAGUGUUCGGGUGUCAAACCCCUACGCGUAAUGAAAGUGAACGCAGGUGAGAGCUUCGGCGCAUCAUCGACCGAUCCUGAUGUUCUCGGAUGGAUUUGAGUAAGAGCAUACGGGGCCGGACCCGAAAGAAGGUGAACUAUGCCUGUAUAGGGUGAAGCCAGAGGAAACUCUGGUGGAGGCUCGCAGCGGUUCUGACGUGYAAAUCGAUCGUCAAAUAUGGGCAUGGGGGCGAAAGACUAAUCGAACCUUCUAGUAGCUGGUUUCCGCCGA